rnacentral:SRP_RNA from 1 species
GCCAGGCGCGGUGGCGCGUGCCUGUAGUCCCAGCUACUCGGGAGGCUAAGGUGAGAGGUUCCCUUGAGCCCAUCUGGGCUGUAGUGCACUAUGACGAUCGGGGGUCUGCACUAAGUUCAGCAUCAAUAUGGUGACGUCCCCCGAGCGGGGCAGGGGACCACCAGGUUGCCUAAGGAGGGGUGAACCAGCCCAGAUCAGAAAUGGAGCAGGUCAAAAUUCCUGUGCUAAUCAGCAGUGGGAUCAUGCCUGUGAAUAGCCACUGCACUCCAGCCUGGGCAACAUAGCUAGCCCCUGUCUCUU